AGCCCCCUAUGUUAUAUAAACACUAAGACUUCAACUCUUAAAAAGAAUCCUUUCGAGGGCUA
rnacentral:tRNA from 1 species